ACUCUAGUUCGUAUAAUGAAAAGACAUGCAGGGUGUAGAAUAGGUGGGAGCGUCAGCGCCAGUGAAAUACCACUACCUUUAUGGUUUUUGACUUAUUCAAUGAAGCGGAACCGAGUGUCACGGCCAAACUUCUGGCAUUAAGGUCCUUUGCGGGCUGAUCCGGGUUGAGGACAUUGUCAGGUGGGGAGU
rnacentral:ncRNA from 1 species